GCAAAGGCGAGGAAGAGAACAAGUAGUGUUUGCGAGCAGCUGCCACAGAAAGCAGCCGGUUGAUGAGAGGCGCGGUAAGUCGGAAACAUGAAUACAUCUCGGAGCUGCUCCCUGAACGCUUGUCAAGUAGGGGCAGACGGAUUGGCACACGUUACAGAGGCUGAAGUAUUGAUAUCGAUACUUGCAAAGGCGGUUAUCGUGAGGUAAGCGUGAAAUAAGGUGGUAACACGGAGUAUACUUCGUCCUUAUA
rnacentral:ncRNA from 1 species